rnacentral:rRNA from 1 species
GACGGAGGAUGCAAGUGUUAUCCGGAAUCACUGGGCGUAAAGCGUCUGUAGGUGGUUUAAUAAGUCAACUGUUAAAUCUUAAAGCUCAACUUUGAAAUUGCAGUCGAAACUAUUAGACUAGAGUAUAGUAGAGGUAAAGGGAAUUUCCAGUGGAGCGGUGAAAUGCGUAGAGAUUGGAAAGAACACCGAUGGCGAAGGCACUUUACUGGGCUAUUACUGACACUCAGAGACGAAAGCUAGGGUAGCAAAUGGG